AGCAGAAGCAGUAUCGCGGCUGGCCCCUAUGUCGGGCCGCUGGCUGAACCGGCUCGGGGCGGACGGGGCGCAGUGUGAGCCGCCAUGUUGUGCUUACCCCCUGCCCGCCUGGCAGCAGGGCCCCGUGGGCAGGUGCCUGUCCCUGGCGCGGCUGCCCCUGCACUGAGGCCCGAGGGAGGAAACACUUCGCUGGACGUGGUGCUGCUGCUGCUGCCCGAACGUCCGCGGCGCGGAGCUGCCCGGCUGGGCUCGUAUGUGCCCGACAGUGCCUUGCGUCGCUCACCCAGUCUCCACUCUUUUGGUCAAUGAAAACCCCCGGCCUAGGGAAAGGCCUUCGUGGGAUCCAGAGAAGAGAAAACAAUGCCAUCAAGGCAGCUGACCCCCUCUUCUGCACGAGAUGUUGGCGAUGACCCAGGCCAAUAUGUUUGUUUAUUAUGAGGGCUGUGUGAGAUUUAUGUCCUUAACUAGUUAUUUCCUUGCUGUGAAGUGCUAGACUAUGAGAAGUAAGUACAUAGUUGUCACUUAGCAACCUUAACUUUUGUUUGAAAGAAAGAGGAUUUGUUUUUGGAACAUUAGAAAUAAUAGGUUGUAUGGGUGUGUCAUAAACAGAUAGUUAAGGGUUAAUGUCUCUUUCACCUAUAAAGGGUUAACAAACAGUGACCUGCAAACACCUGACCAGAAGACCAAUCAGGAGACAAAAUACUUUCAAAUCUCGUGGAGGGAAGCCUUUGUUUGUGGGUUUGGGGUUUGGCUUUGUUCUCUCUGGGUCCUGGACGAGACUAGAGGUGCAACCAGGGUUCUGCCAAUCUCCCUGCUACAGUCUCUUAUCUAUUCAGAAUUGUAAGUAAGAAAAGGUGGUCAUAGUCUUUUAAUUUGUUUUUUUUUUUCAUUUACAUAUGUGUACUUGCUGGAAGUAGCUUAAAUUGUGUUUCUGCUGGAGAAAGUUUCUUUCUAUUGUUUAUAAGUUGAAAGACCCUGUAACUGUUUAUCAUCUAAAGUGCAGAGAUAAACCUUUUAUUUUUUUUCUUUCCUUUUUUAUUAAAAGUUUUGCUUUUAAGACCUGUUUGACUUUUUUCUCCUAGUUAAGGUUCAAGGGAAUUGGUGGGGAGAAGGGAAGGAUAAAUUUUCUCUUUGUGUUAUAUUCACGCAGCUUGUAUUGCCUCUGGGUGAGGGAGAAGGUAACACUCCUCUAGGUGUGGUGAUUCAAAAAGUUGAAUCAGGCAAUCUCCUAGUGUUCCCAGGGUGGGAAGGAGCUGGGAGGAAGAAGGGAGGGGGAAGGGAAUGGUUUAUUUCCCUUUGUUGUGAGACU
rnacentral:lncRNA from 1 species